ensembl:snRNA U4 U4 spliceosomal RNA
AGCUUUGCGCAGUGGCAGUAUCGUAGCCAAUGAGGUUUAUCCGAGGCGCGAUUAUUGCUAAUUGAAAACUUUUCUCAAAUACCCAUGUAUGUAUCUUAUGUACAUUCUGACUCUCAUUGCUGGAUAUUUCUGUAGCAC